AGUUAAUUAGCUUAAGAAAAGCUUGUACUUUGAAAGUAUAGUAAGGGGGUUUAAUUCCCCCAUUAACUU
rnacentral:tRNA from 1 species